CAAGAUACCACGGGCGCACGGCGGAUGCCUUGGCACAGGGAGCCGAUGAAGGACGCGGCAAGCUGCGAUAAUCCCCGGCGAGGAGCACACAUCCUUCGACCCGGGGGUCUCCGAAUGGGCGAACCCAUCCACAGCAGUGUGGAUAUCCCCACCCCGAACACAUAAGGGUGGGGAGGACAACCCGGGGAACUGAAACAUCUAAGUACCCGGAGGAGAGGAAAUCAAUCUCGAGACUCCCCGAGUAGCGGCGAGCGAAAGGGGACCGAUGGCCAAACCGUCGAGCGGGCAUACCCGGCAGGGGUUCCGCCGGCGGGGUUGCAGGGCCGCGCAUCCGGGGGCUGCCGCCCCCGGGCGCAGGUCCGGCUGGGGAGCGGAACGGCAUGGGAGGGCCGGCCGCAGCGGGUGACAGCCCCGUACGCGAACCCAGACCGGACGGCGCGACGCGGUCCCUGAGUAGGGCCGGGCACGUGAAACCCGGUCCGAACCUGGGUGGACCACCAUCCAAGCCUGAGUACUACCCUGUGACCGAUAGCGCACCAGUACCGUGAGGGAAAGGUGAAAAGCACCCCGGGAGGGGAGUGAAACAGUACCUGAAACCGUGCGCCCACGAGCAGUCGGAGCACCUAUAUGGUGUGACGGCGUGCCUUUUGUAGAAUGAGCCAGCGAGUCGCUGGCGCGGGGCGAGGUUAACCGAAAGGGAGCCGGAGCGAAAGCGAGCCUUAACAGGGCGACUUGAGUCCCGCGCCGCGGACGCGAAGCCGGGUGAGCUAUCCGUGGGCAGGCUGAAGCGGGGGUAAGACCCCGUGGAGGGCCGAACGCACGUCGGUUGAAAACGGCGGCGAUGACCUGCGGAUAGGGGUGAAAGGCCAAUCAAACCCGGAGAUAUCUCGUUCUCCCCGAAAUAGCUUUAGGGCUAGCGUCGCGCGUUCACCGCCGGAGGUAGAGCACCGGAUGGACGAGGGGGCUUCGCCGCCUACCGAAUCCAACCGAACUCCGAAUGCCGGCGGCCCAGAGCGCGGCAGUCAGAGCAUGUGGGCUAAGCUGUGUGCUCGAGAGGGAAACAGCCCGGACCGCCCGCUAAGGUCCCCAAGUUCCAGCCGAGUGGCAAAGGAUGUGCGUCCGCCCAGACAACCAGGAUGUUGGCUUAGAAGCAGCCAUGCAUUCAAAGAGUGCGUAACAGCUCACUGGUCGAGUGGACAUGCGCCGACAAUACACGGGGCUAAGCUGGACACCGAAGCGGCGGGAUUUUGAUUUUCAGAAUCGGUAGGGGAGCUUCCCAUGGGCGGUGAAGCCGCCGGGCGACCGGCGGUGGAGCGCAUGGGAGUGAGAAUGCUGGCAUGAGUAGCGAGAGACGAGAGAGUAACUCGUCCGCCGUGAACCCGAGGUUUCCUGGGCAAGGCUAAUCCUCCCAGGGUCAGUCGGGGGCUAAGGCGAGGCCGGAAGGCGUAGCCGACGCGCAGCAGGCAGACAUUCCUGCACCGCGCACGCGGCGCUACGACCGACGGGGCGACGGAUGGGGGUGGCUCGGCGGGGUUCUGGACGUCCCCGUGAUGGAGCGCGGCCCGCGGACCAGGGAAAUCCGGUCCGCACGAGGGCGAGGCUCCGGACGAAGCAUCUGAGCGAAGCGAGUGAGCCCGAGGUCCCUAGAAAAACCCCUAGGCAGGCGCGUGCGCGCCCGUACCGCAAACCGACACAGGUGGGUGGGUAGAACAUACCGAGGCGAUCGGGUCAACCAUGGUCAAGGAACUCGGCACAAUGGCCCCGUAACUUCGGGAGAAGGGGUGCCCGCGCGUACGUGAACGGACUUGCUCCGGGAGCGGAGGCGGGCCGCAGUGGAGAGGCCCAAGCGACUGUUUACCAAAAACACAGGACUCUGCAGAAGCCGCAAGGCGACGUAUAGGGUCUGACGCCUGCCCGGUGCCGGAAGGUCACGCGGAGGAGUUAGCCGCAAGGCGAAGCCCCGAAGCCAAGCCCCGGUAAACGGCGGCCGUAACUAUAACGGUCCUAAGGUAGCGAAAUUCCUUGUCGGGUAAGUUCCGACCUGCACGAAAGGUGUAAUGAUUUGGGCACUGUCUCAACGAGAGACUCGGUGAAAUUAUAAUACCCGUGAAGAUGCGGGUUACCCGCGACAGGACGGAAAGACCCCAUGGAGCUUUACUGUAGCUUGAUAUUGAGUAUUUGUUAAACAUGUACAGGAUAGGUAGGAGCCAGAGAAAGUAGGACGCUAGUCUUACUGGAGGCAAUGUUGGGAUACUACCCUUGUUUGAUGGAUCCUCUAACUCGCAGAGCUGAGCGUUCUGGAGGACAGUGUCAGGUGGGCAGUUUGACUGGGGCGGUCGCCUCCUAAAAUGUAACGGAGGCGCCCAAAGGUUCCCUCAGAAUGGUUGGAAAUCAUUCGCAGAGUGUAAAGGUAUAAGGGAGCUUGACUGCGAGAGCUACAACUCGAGCAGGGACGAAAGUCGGGCUUAGUGAUCCGGUGGUUCCGCAUGGAAGGGCCAUCGCUCAACGGAUAAAAGCUACCCUGGGGAUAACAGGCUUAUCUCCCCCAAGAGUCCACAUCGACGGGGAGGUUUGGCACCUCGAUGUCGGCUCAUCGCAUCCUGGGGCUGUAGUCGGUCCCAAGGGUUGGGCUGUUCGCCCAUUAAAGCGGUACGCGAGCUGGGUUCAGAACGUCGUGAGACAGUUCGGUCCCUAUCCUCCGUGGGCGCAGGAGAAUCGAUGGAGGCUGCCCCCAGUACGAGAGGACCGGGGUGGACGCACCUCCGGUGAACCGGUUGUCGACCAACGGCACGGCCGGGUAGCCGCGUGCGGCGCGGAUAACCGCUGAAGGCAUCUAAGCGGGAAGCCGUUCCAGGGAUUAGUUCUCCUUCCGGUAAGGGCCCAGGUAGACUACCUGGUCGAUAGACGGCAGGUGCAAGGACGGCGACGUCCUCAGCCGAGCCGCACUAAUCGCCCGAG
rnacentral:rRNA from 1 species